rnacentral:rRNA from 1 species
CCUACGGGUGGCAGCAGUGGGGAAUAUUGCACAAUGGGGGAAACCCUGAUGCAGCGACGCCGCGUGAGUGAAGAAGUAAUUCGUUAUGUAAAGCUCUAUCAGCAGGGAAGAAAAUGACGGUACCUGAGUAAGAAGACCCGGCUAACUACGUGACAGCAGCCGCGGUAAUACGUAGGGGGCAAGCGUUAUACGGAUUUACUGGGUGGAAAGGGAGCGUAGACGGCAGUGCAAGUCUGGAGUGAAAGGCGGGGGCUCAACCCACGGACUGAUCUGGAAACUGUACGGCUGGAGUGCAGGAGAGGUAAGUGGAAUUCCUAGUGUAGCGGUGAAAUGCGUAGAUAUUAGGAGGAACACCAGUGGCGAAGGCGGCUUACUGGACUGUAACUGACGUUGAGGCUCGAAAGCGUGGGGAGCAAACAGGAUUAGAUACCCUUGUAGUC